CUUGAACGCUGGCGGCAGGCCUAACACAUGCAAGUCGAGCGGAUGAAGGGAGCUUGCUCCUGGAUUCAGCGGCGGACGGGUGAGUAAUGCCUAGGAAUCUGCCUGGUAUUGGGGGAUAACGUCCGGAAACGGGCGCUAAUACCGCAUACGUCCUGAUGGAGAAAGUGGGGGAUCUUCGGACCUCACGCUAUCAGAUGAGCCUAGGUCGGAUUAGCUAGUUGGUGGGGUAAAGGCCUACCAAGGCGACGAUCCGUAACUGGUCUGAGAGGAUGAUCAGUCACACUGGAACUGAGACACGGUCCAGACUCCUACGGGAGGCAGCAGUGGGGAAUAUUGGACAAUGGGCGAAAGCCUGAUCCAGCCAUGCCGCGUGUGUGAAGAAGGUCUUCGGAUUGUAAAGCACUUUAAGUUGGGAGGAAGGGCAGUAAGUUAAUACCUUGCUGUUUUGACGUUACCAACAGAAUAAGCACCGGCUAACUUCGUG
rnacentral:rRNA from 1 species